CUACGGAAGGCGCGAAUAAUUCACAAUGGGGGCAACCCUGAUGGUGCAACGCCGCGUGGAGGAUGACGGUCUUCGGAUUGUAAACUCCUGUCAUCCGGGAGUAAGACCUGGCCGUUAAUAGCGGGCAGGGUUGAUAGUACCGGAAGAGGAAGGGACGGCUAACUUCGUGCCAGCAGCCGCGGUAAUACGAAGGUCCCAAGCGUUGUUCGGAAUCACUGGGCGUAAAGGGAGCGUAGGCGGCGUGGUAAGUCAGAUGUGAAAUCCCGGGGCUCAACCCCGGAACUGCAUCCGAUACUGCCAUGCUAGAGUGAUGGAGUGGUAGCUGGAAUUCUUGGUGUAGCAGUGAAAUGCGUGGAUAUCAAGAGGAACACUCGUGGCGAAAGCGAGCUACUGGACAUUUACUGACGCUGAGGCUCGAAGGCCAGGGUAGCGAAAGGGAUUAGAUACCCGUGUAGUCUG
rnacentral:rRNA from 1 species